rnacentral:rRNA from 1 species
AUACGUCCUACGGGAGAAAGCAGGGGAUCAGUAAUGACCUUGCGCUAAUAGAUGAGCCUAAGUCGGAUUAGCUAGUUGGUGGGGUAAAGGCCUACCAAGGCGACGAUCUGUAGCGGGUCUGAGAGGAUGAUCCGCCACACUGGGACUGAGACACGGCCCAGACUCCUACGGGAGGCAGCAGUGGGGAAUAUUGGACAAUGGGGGGAACCCUGAUCCAGCCAUGCCGCGUGUGUGAAGAAGGCCUUAUGGUUGUAAAGCACUUUAAGCGAGGAGGAGGGUACUGGUAUUAAUACUACCAGCUACUGGACGUUACUCGCAGAAUAAGCACCGGCUAACUCUGUGCCAGCAGCCGCGGUAAUACAGAGGGUGCGAGCGUUAAUCGGAUUUACUGGGCGUAAAGCGUGCGUAGGCGGCUAAUUGAGUCGGAUGUGAAAUCCCCGAGCUUAACUUGGGAAUUGCAUUCGAUACUGGUUAGCUAGAGUGUGGGAGAGGAUGGUAGAAUUCCAGGUGUAGCGGUGAAAUGCGUAGAGAUCUGGAGGAAUACCGAUGGCGAAGGCAGCCAUCUGGCCUAACACUGACGCUGAGGUACGAAAGCAUGGGGAGCAAACAGGAUUAGAUACCCUGGUAGUCCAUGCCGUAAACGAUGUCUACUAGCCGUUGGUCUCUUUGAGGGAUUAGUGGCGCAGCUAACGCGAUAAGUAGACCGCCUGGGGAGUACGGUCGCAAGACUAAAACUCAAAUGAAUUGACGGGGGCCCGCACAAGCGGUGGAGCAUGUGGUUUAAUUCGAUGCAACGCGAAGAACCUUACCUGGUCUUGACAUAGUAAGAACUUUCCAGAGAUGGAUUGGUGCCUUCGGGAACUUACAUACAGGUGCUGCAUGGCU